GUUCUGCGUCUAUGAAAUAGGACUAACAACACAGUAUGCACGGGCUUAAAUUUUAUAGACGUCAAAUUGCCUGAGACAGAGUCUCACUAUGUUUCCCAGACUGGUUUUGAACUCCUGGGCUCAAGUGAUCCUUCUGCCGCAGCCUCCCGAAGUGCUGGGAUUACAGGUAUGAACCACCAUGCCCAGCCUAUUUUCUUAAUUAUUAUUGUUUCCUUUAUUUUCAAGCACGUUUCAGUCAUAGUUCUCAGCAUCUGGAAGUACGACAGGUUAGCAUGUUUGAUAUUUAAAAUAUUUAAUUAAUAUCUAUAGUUCUUUGCUUUUGUUAAUUUUAUUUCUUAAUUGACAAAUAAUUGUAUAUAUUGAUGGGCACAACAUGAUGUUUUGAUAUAUGUUUACAUUGUGGAAUAAUUAAAUCAAGCUAAUUAACAUAUCCAUCCCCUUGCAUACUUAUCAUUUCUCUUUUAGCAAUUUUGAAAGGCACAAUGCAUCAUUAUUUAUUAUAAUCACUUUCUGUGCAAUAGAUCACUAAAGCUUAUUUCUCCCGUCUAACCAAAACUGUUUACCCUUUGACAAACAUUUCCCCUUUUCCCACCCAAUCCUCCUGCCCCCACCCCCAGCUUCUGAUCACCUCCGUUCUGCUCUCUACUCCUAUGAGUUAAACUCCUUUGGAUUUUUCAUCUGAGUGAGAUCACGCAGUAUUUGUCUUUCUGUGCCUGGCUUAUUUCAGUUACCAUAAUAUCUUCCUGGCUCACCCGUGUGGUAGCACGUGACGGGAUUUCCUCCUUUUUUAUGGCUGAAUAGUAUUAUUACAUGGUGCCAUUGUAUCACAUUUUUCUUGAUCCAUUCAUCUGCUGAUGGACACUUAGGCUGAUUCCGUGUCUUGGCUAUCGUGCGUAGUGCUGCAGUGAACACAGGCAUGCAAACACCCUUCCGCAUACUGAUUUCAAUCCUUUGGGUCUCUAUCCAGAAGUUGGAUUGCUAGACCCUAUGGUAGUUCUAUUUUUAGUUUUUUGAGGAACCACUGUACCGUUUUUCAUAACGGCUGUAUUUACUAACCCAUUUUUUAAUCCGGCUCUUCCUGCUAUUAGAACCUUCUACUGAAGUUUUUGUUUGUU
rnacentral:lncRNA from 1 species